rnacentral:lncRNA from 1 species
UUUAUUUCAUUGAUUUUCUUGCUUUAUUAUUUAUUUUAGUGCUGGGAAUUUAACCCAUGGCCUCAUACAUGCUAAGCAAGCACUCUAUCACUGACCUACACCCUCAGUCCUCAAUCUUAUUUUUAUUAUUUCUAUCGUCUAUUUACUUUGAACUUAACUUCUUUUUCUAACUUUCUAAGGUAAAAACUUAGAUUAUUUUAGAUCUUUCUUCCCCAUAUCAUAACCAUUUAAGCUUAUGUCAUCACUUUAACUGUUGCCUAUAAAUUUUGGUAUGUUGUUUUGUAAUUAUCAUCCAGUUCCAAAUGGUUUCUAGUUUCUUUUAUGAUUUUUCAUUGAUCCAUAGAUCACUUAAUAUGUUGUUUAAUUUCCAAAUAUUUAGGGAUUGUCCAUAUAUAUUUUUGCUAUUGAUUUCUAAAUUAAUUUCAACAACAAACUGGGUGAUUUUAAUCCUUCUAAAUUUACCAAAACUUGUUUUAUGGGGCUUUGGGUAUAGCUCAGUAGAGUACAUGCUUAGCUUGCUUGAGGGCCUGUGUUCCAGCCCUAACACCAAAAAAAAAGUGUUUUAUAACCCACCAUAUGGUACAUGUUGUUUAAUGUUUUAUAUGUACUUGACAAGAAUGAGUAUUUUGGUAGGUGGUGUGUUCAGUAAAUUAUCAACUAGGUCAAAUUGAUUAGAAGUAUUGUUCAGUUCUUUUAACUUUCUGCCCACUUAUGUGAAUUACUAGAAUUGAAUGGUGGAACAUUAAAAUAUUCAACUAUAAUUGGGGAUAUUGUGGCCAAAUUUUUUAUCAUUAUUAUUAUUUCCUUUCAGUUCUGUCAAUUUUUGUUUCAGUAGUUGAAAACUUUAUUAGAUGCAUACAUGUUUUCACUAUUUAUUAUGAAAAUUUUCAAAC